rnacentral:sRNA from 1 species
UACAACGAUUGUGCAACGAUGUGAACGUC